rnacentral:lncRNA from 1 species
ACACAUUCUACUCGAACGGAUCCCCCUUUCUACAUUAUUCUCUUUGCAUUUACAUUUUUUUCUGUCACGGGGGCCCAUUUUCCCCGCCCACUCCCCUCAUUUUCGCUUGAAACCAGAAUAGUGUAGCCAAGAAAUAGUUAAUCCGGAGCUGCUUCUAUAUGAUUGGCUGCUAUACACAGCGUUUGAGCCACCUUGAAUGAGAAACAGGGGUAACUAGGCAACUUCAACGGCAGUAAAAAAAGAAAAAAAAGAAGAAAAGAAGAUAUGGUCCAUGAAGAGCCGGAAUUGUAACAUUGUCGAAAAUUGAGAGGUGACCCAAUGUGAUUUUAUACCGUGCUUGGCUGGCAAAUGGAAUUAACGAGUGGAUUUCUUUUCUUAGAAGGUAAAACAGAGCGCGAAAAUGAACGGGAACCUGAUUUGGAUUAAAACGGUUGAAUUGGGCAUUCCAGAAUAGCCGACAUAUGAAAGGACUUCCAGUGCUACUCGAAGGAGGGACAGUGAUGUACAACAUGAGGACAAUCUCUGAAGUAUCCUACCCGAGAGGCAUAGCCCUACUCAACCUGGCCUAAAGAAUAUAACAGUACCACCACAACCCAUGCGUUCCCUUUGGGAGGAAGUAUUCACCAAUCACUAGGUGGGAACUGCACUAAAGA